GACGGGGCCCGCACAAGCGGUGGAGUAUGUGGUUUAAUUCGAUGCAACGCGAAGAACCUUACCUGGUCUUGACAUCCCGGAGACCCUUAGGAAACUAGGGGGUGCUUCCAUCUGGAAGAAUCUGGAGACAGGUGCUGCAUGGCUGUCGUCAGCUCGUGUCGUGAGAUGUUGGGUUAAGUCCCGCAACGAGCGCAACCCUUGCCUUUAGUUGCCAGCAGUUCGGCUGGGCACUCUAAAGGGACUGCCGGUGUUAAACCGGAGGAAGGUGGGGAUGACGUCAAGUCCUCAUGGCCUUUAUGACCAGGGCUACACAUGUACUACAAUGGCCGAUACAAAGGGCAGCGACACUGCGAGGUGAAGCCAAUCCCGUAAAAUCGGUCUCAGUCCGGAUUGGAGUCUGCAACUCGACUCCAUGAAGUUGGAAUCGCUAGUAAUCGUGGAUCAGCAUGCCACGGUGAAUACGUUCCCGGGCCUU
rnacentral:rRNA from 1 species